rnacentral:lncRNA from 1 species
CCUGAAACCCUUCUCCCCCAUAACCAAGAUCUUCUACCUUCUCCACCGCCGGUUCACUUCCACAGCCGCACCUCCUUCGCACUCCGAACGACCGCCGGCUGCCACCUGCACCGGAAUCACUUCCCCUGUCGACCUUCUCCGUCAUCUCCGCCUUGAUACCUCAACCCUACUCCGCUGACCCGCUACUCGACGCGGUCGCUCACCUCCACUUCAUCAAUCGUCGACCACCGCCACUUCUCCUCCAUCUCACGCCGCCCUCUGGAACCACGAGUCACCAAGCCCCACUACCGACCAUCGUUUUCAACCGCCGGCUGCCACCUGAACCGGCAACCCACCACAGUCGAACGACCGCCGGUCUACGUCUUCAGCCGUCGGACUCGUCUCCGAUGUUCACCGACACCCCCUUCUACGACUCUGCCCGCAUAUAUGGUUUUGAAUACUCUCUGCAUUGUUAAAGAGAAAAGGGUAGCCCAACUGUCUCAAGAUCACCACUGUCCAAGCGUUCGCAUAAAACAUCUUCGACCCGAUCCUCUGCCGCCUUUGUAGAUGCCUUCCACAUAUUUUUCCGAGCCUCGAGGACGAUGCUAUAUCUUAAGCUUGGGGAGGUUGAGAUUUGAGGUAAUUUCUAUGUUCUCAUUUUAGCUUGCAUUACCUAGUUAGUUUGUAAAUAGCUGCAUUCUUCAUGUUCGUUGCAUUUAGGGUGUAUAUACAUGCAUAAAAAAAAUUCUUAAAAAAAAAUUAAAAAUAAAAAAAAACCGUUUCUGUUCCGCUGAAAAUGAUUUGUGAAAAAUGAGAGAUGAUAUAAAAUUUCUGGCAUGUCGAAGCUUAUGCGUGAAAUGGUAACUUUGGGGAAGAAAACAUAGAUAAUUCGGGAUGUGUUGAUAGGCUCGGCCCUAACUUAGGAACACCAAUGUUGGAUGCAAUAACCUUAAUUAUAUAUAUGUGUUUAGUUUCCCAUCUUGAUGCUUGUGGUCAAAGAUUGAUCCCGACCAAAAAUCGGUUAAGUUGCAUAUCCUCUAUCACACACCAUGUUCUCCAUAUCAUGACACCUCCGUAAUAAAGAGGUGAAAAAUUGACCUCAAAUUGGUGAAAAAUUGACCUCAUAGGUUAUUAUAGUUUAAAACAAAAAAAAAAAAAAAAAAACAAAAAGAAAAAAAAAGAGAAAAAAGAAGGGGUAAAAGAGCACAAUGUUUGCCAAAAAUUUGAAAAAAAAAAUCGAAAUCGAAAUAAAAAAAUAUUUGAGCAAAUUAGGGAGAAAAGUCCCGACCCCUUGAAAAACGGAAAAAAAAAGAUAAUAACUAUCGUGUCAUGGUCUGGAUGCAUGGUCGCAUCAAGUGUGAUUUUGGAUAUCUUCAAAAAGUCGUGAGGUUGGGUAGAUGUUGCCAUAGGUGUUGGGCGUGGGGACGAUUGAACCAUGUUGGUAAAUUUGUAUAUUAUUAAGCAGAAAGCAUUUGGUUGUGAUUAAGCGGGUUUGAGUUUAAAGGGAUACAAAAUAUCAACAAUCGCGGUUACACGUUUAAGUAUUUCCCGGGUUCGAAUGAAUGUAAUAGGAGUUGAUAUUGUUAGAUAUGAUCUCAUUACAAGUUUAUUUUCCGGAAUAAAAGAAGCGGGUUGAAAAAAAAAUAGUAAGCAUGCAUAUGUGUAUUGUUUUUCGUGUUUAUUUCUCGGAUUAUUCUUAUUCUUGACUUCCUUGAGGACAAGGAAAGGUUUAAGCUUGGGGAGAUUUGUUAGUUGCAUUUUUAGGCACGUUUUAUUGCAUAAUAAUAUUAAUAUUUCACCACAUAUCAUGCAUAUUUCAUAGUCAUACCUCCUUAUUUUGCGAAAUACGCGUUUUUGUGGAACGGAAUCUACUUUGGACAUUUUAAUGAUUUUGUAGAUGUGGAGCAAUCGCCAUAUAUCACAAUGGGCGUGGAAAAGCUUAAGAGGUAUUCAUAAUAAAACAAGAAGAGCAAAGCAGCCGUUGAUGCGAUCCAAUUUAUGUUCAAGCUCAGUCAAAAGGAACAAUGAGGUUAAAAGUUGGUAACUUAGUGGAAGGUGUAAGUUUAAAGCUCAAGAAAAUAAAGAUCUAAAUAGAAUCUACAAGGAGCUCGAAACCAGCAGCAUCCAACAAAAAUUGAAGUUAUGAAAGUGGGCUUUAGUUAAUGAAUUUUAGUUGGACUAAAAUUUGGAAAUGGAAAUUAAAGAAAUUGUUGGGCUGAUGAUGAGAAUGAGAAGCUGGCCUUAAUUAAAUUAGAGAUGAACCACAAUAAAGAAAAAUAAAGGCCCAUGAGAAGUAGGGAAUUGUUGGCUGGGAAUAAAAAAAAGGAUCACGAACAAUCUAAAAAAAACCCAUCUUUGACGGCUGCAAAUUCGAGUGGAGUUCGAAAGAAGCAACAAAUCAGAUUUUGGGAAGUGAUUUUGGUUUGUUAGUUUAUGCUUUGUUUUGUAUUUGACUUGAUUGUUUUAGCCACCAUGUCCGGCUAGACGUUUAUAGUUUCGACAUCGGGGCGUGUUUUCUUUGAUUUGGUUUAAG